GAGUACGCAUUCAGUAUCAAAGUUGAGUUAUACAUUACAGUGUGUCUCAAAAAAAAGUGAACCCUUUCAAAUUCAAAUUAGCUAUAACGUAUUGUAGUAAUUUGACAGCUCUAAUUGCUUUGAAUUAAUGAUUGGAUAAGAACACAAGGUCUUGUACCACAGUUCUUGUACUCAUGGGACAAAACAUGUCAAAACUCUUAAAAACUUUUAAAUUUUCUCAUUUUUAUUUCUUUGCGGAUUAAUUCAAAGCAAUUAGAGCUGUCAAAUUACUACAAUACGUUAUAGCUAAUUUGAAUUUGAAAAGGUUCACUUUUUUUUAGACACACCGUGUAGAAUUAUAUAGUUGCAUGCAGUCAUUGUUUGUUUUAGUGCAUGUAGUAAUUAAAAAUCAAGUAAUAACAAAUAUAUG